ACUCCUACGGGAGGCAGCAGUGGGGAAUAUUGCACAAUGGGGGAAACCCUGAUGCAGCCAUGCCGCGUGUGUGAAGAAGGCCUUCGGGUUGUAAAGCACUUUCAGUAGGGAGGAAGGUAGUGUAGUUAACACCUGCACUAUUUGACGUUACCUACAGAAGAAGCACCGGCUAACUCCGUGCCAGCAGCCGCGGUAAUACGGAGGGUGCGAGCGUUAAAUCGGAAUUACUGGGCGUAAAGCGCAUGCAGGCGGCCUGUUAAGUCAGAUGUGAAAGCCCGGGGCUUAACCUCGGAAUUGCAUUUGAAACUGGCAGGCUAGAGUCUUGUAGAGGGGGGUAGAAUUUCAGGUGUAGCGGUGAAAAUGCGUAGAGAUCUGAAGGAAUACCAGUGGCGAAGGCGGCCCCCUGGACAAAGACUGACGCUCAGAUGCG
rnacentral:rRNA from 1 species